UACGUAGGGGGCGAGCGUUGUCCGGAAUCAUUGGGCGUAAAGCGCGCGUAGGUGGCCAUUUAAGUCCGCUGUGAAAGUCAAAGGCUCAACCUUUGAAAGCCGGUGGAUACUGGAUGGCUAGAGUACGGAAGAGGCGAGUGGAAUUCCUGGUGUAGCGGUGGAAUGCGCAGAUAUCAGGAGGAACACCAAUAGCGAAGGCAGCUCGCUGGGACGUUACUGACACUGAGGCGCGAAAGCGUGGGGAGCGAACAGG
rnacentral:misc_RNA from 1 species